rnacentral:lncRNA from 1 species
UGGAUUAUAAAAUCUAAACAAGUGCUUAUACUACAAUGCCCCAUGCUGGUCGGAAUCUUUCUUUUCUGAUGAGCCAGUUUGAAAAGGUAAUCCCCUUAAUUUUCUUCUUUAAUUGCCAUGCAUGUUCUAUUCGUAGUCUUUUGUUUGAAUGUUAGUUAAUUAGGUUUUCAUUAUUUUAGCAUGAAGAUUCAUUUAAGUUCGGUAGUUAGUUGAUUGUAUAUUUGAUUGAUUCUUAAGUCUGGAUACUAAAUUAACUACUGUGUUCAGAGCCUUAAAUGGAAGUGACUAUACAUCCUUUAAGAUUCAAAAAAUAAUCACGAUUAUAUAGUGAAUUCUGCCUAAAAUAUUCUUGUGGAACACGCCAUAGAUCAUACCACUUCCCAAACACUUCUCGAGAAUAAUUCCGAAAAUAGGAAAACUAUUUGUAUUGGUAAAAUUUGGCUUUGACAUGUAAAUAGUUUACAUGAAAAUAUAAUGUUGCUCGGGAUAACUGUCAUUCUAAGGAUAAAUGAAUAGUGAGAGCUUCCCCUCACGAGAAAUAUCUUCAACCUGAUAGCUUCUUUCUAGGGAGAUGGGAGUAGUACCCCGGUGAAGCACUCCUAAUAUGACCUCGGAGAUCCAUUGAUGAAACUAUAGAUCAGAGGCUUGCUUGGUCUUCAAUCGCUUGCGAAAUAUUUAGGAUUCACUCGUAUCCAAUAUGUCUGAAACUUAUCCCACAACUGGCGAUUAUCUCGACGAUCAACAACAACCUAGAACGACGUGGGGAGUGGAACUUGGGAUGUGAACAUCAGGCUUAGACUAUAAAUACCUAUAGUUCUCUCACAUAUGUCUCAUUCUGAUGCUGCUCUAUUUACCCAUUAUUAUAAGCUACUGCAUUUCGUUCUUGUCAAGUUGGGCAAUUGGUCUUUACUUUGUGAGCCAUGUAGCUCAUAAACAAUCUUAAUAAGAUUAUUAUUUUCUUUUCUUACUUUAAUCAUGUUAUUAUUUUCAUUUAUUGUGUAUUUAGUCUAAUCAGACGAGUUAUUCAACUAAGCUCGAAUUUGAACCAAUUAUUAGUGACCUCAUUAAACAUAAUUAAUUAUUUUAUCCGGAAAUUAUUUUCGUGUUAAAAAAUCGUAUUGCAGUCUUAUAAUGUAAUUUCUUCUAUUUAAUCUUUAAUUAUAAGUUAACUCAGUUGAUUUCAUAAUACAACGAUGAUAAAUAGAUAUAAUAUUUGUUCUUGAGUAUUGAACUAUUUCUUUUGCAAACAAGAGAUUAACCAAUAUUUAAUUUUUAGUUUAGAAAUUGUAAUAUUUAAUACGAAUCAUGUAUUAUUUUAAAGGUCAAAUUGAGCUUCAAAAAUAUUUUGAGAGACUAUACUCUAUAUACUCUAAUAACGAUUGGGCACAAAGAGUUUAAUAAAUAAAGACUUCUGAAAUUUAUUGUCUUAAAUAUGCAAUAGCAUUUGUGUUGCUAUAACACUUUUGAAACCUGUGAUUUAAACAUAUUAUAAUAUUUGUAUGGUUAUAAUAGUUUUUCACUACGGGCAAAAUAAAAAGUUCAAAUUAAAAUUUUUAAAUUUUUUAAAAACUUAUUUUCUCAGAACAGACUAAAAAAAUAGUAGCACAUAAGCCGAAAAUUGGCACGGACGGGGUAUAAAUUUUAGUUUUAAUAUUGGAAUUUUUACCUUCCUAUACACUAUUUGAAACUUUAUUAUCAAAAAUGUCCACAUUUAGUUAAUUACCCGACCUAAACAAGUUUUGUUUACAAAAUAUAUACAUUCCACCUUAAAAGACCCUUAAUCCAUUAUUAGUGCCUUCAAUCAAGGGAUUUAGUUAUACCUUUUCCCCUUUUUCUCUCCUCUUUCCCCUUUUCUCUUCAGAUCUUCCACCCUUGUAGCAAUUUAGUGAUCAAGUCAGUGGACAACUCUUUCAUCUGGUUGAUCACGUAGCCAUGUCUUAAUAUUACUUACAAUUUUGUAUUAUUUCUUCUAAUCCUUUUUCUUCUUCUUCUUUUUAACCCUUCAGUUUUACGUUGGAAUUUAGUAAGAAUUCCUCUAUAAUUAACAUGAAGAUUAGGUUAAUAUUUGGGGAUAACUUUUUACAAGUUCUUUUUAUCGGGAUUCAAGAUAAAACCAAAAUUCUAAUUUAAAUCCUUAAAAAGGAAUCAAACUCUGUUACCUGCCCAUCAAGUUUAUUUAAUUAUUAUCCAAUUAAGAACUUGUUGAAGUUGCUAUUCAAAAUACAAAAUCAGAAGGGCACCCAUUUUCAAAGAAUUAUAUCCUGUGCUUUUCACUUUCUUUAGGUAGGAGUAAUAAUUAAUAGAACAUCCCUAGUUAGAUAGAAUAUAUCUGGAGGGCAUUAUUCUACAAAUCAUACUCAAUAAUGGUUAUACUUUUUCCUGCAAAAUAAGAUGGAAUCCUUCUUGCAUGUAAUGCUGAAGAUAGGUAAGUUUACCUUUUAUGAGAAGUCGAUCUGAAUUAAGUUGCAAGGUAAUUCAUGAAAUUAAGUAAUGUUUUAAACUGUUUUAACACGUUUAGGCAAAGAGCUUAAAAGCACAAUGUAAAAGUACAACUAAUCUACAACUUUCAUACAUUAUUUUUACAUAGUUAAAUACAACUAUAAUAUCAUACAACUACAAUACAAUUUUUAUACAAUAUGUCCUUUUUAUAUUUUGUAUCUAAUUUAUACAUAGUAAAAAUAAAUUUCAUACAACUAAUUAUAUAUUAUACAACUUAUCUAUAACUUAUCUACAACUUUCAUACGUUAUUUCUACCUAGUUAUAUACAACUACAAUAUCAUACAACUUAAAUAUAUUUUUUCAAUAUUGUUCAACUUUCAUACAAUAUUUAAAUAAAAAAUAUAUAUAUAAAUAACAGAAUAUAAUUUUUCUACAAUUUUACUAUAAUUUUACUACAAUUUCAUAAGUAUAAUGUAUGCCAUGUCUUCUUCUUCUUCUUCUUCUUCUUCUUCUUCUUCUUCUUCUUCUUCUUCCUCUUCUUCUUCUUCUUCUAGUUUCAACUGAAAUUCAACCAAAAUCAAGUCUAAUAUUCACCAAAACACCCUAAAAAUGAGAUAUAUACUCCAAACAAUAUUUUCAAUUGUUAGCAACAACACCCAAUCCAAACAAAUAUUGGUUUUUGAAAACCCAAAUUCGAAUUCAAAACCUUUUAAUAGCUAUCAAUGGUGGAAUUGCUGCUCUCUUACUGGAAUUAGGGCUGGUUUUCGAAAGUGUUUUCUUCUUCAUUAAAAGUUAAGCAAACAACAAACGUUAAUGGAGGUGUGUGGCAGAGUAUUUAGAGCUUGAAUCUAUAAAAAUGGAUAGGGAUUUUUAAAGAAAUGUGAAAAAAAAUAGACUGAUUUUGAAGAAGAGUGAAAAUAGGUAUUAAUGGAGGGAUACUGAAUUUUGUGGAGAGAGAAAUGUGGGUGAGUGCAAGAUACGUGGUGGGGUGGGGUGGAAGAUACGUUAGAGUGAUUUUAGGACACUAAUUAUUAUCAUUAAAUGCCUAAAAAUAUAUAUAAUUGGUAAUUUGGUAUAUAAUAUGUAAUUAUAUUAAAACUUGAAUAGGGAGGGUAAUAAAAAUUGAAAUAGUAUAUAGGAAUGUAAAAAUUUCUAUUUUAAAUAGCGGGCUUAAAAGUGACUAUUGCUACAUUUCACCCCCUAAAAACUCAUAGUAGGCCCAAUAUGUGACCAUCCCACCCAAAUUUUCUUUUUAAAGUGGCUUAUUAUGAAUAUUUUUAGGAAAAAUAUUUAUAUACAUAGGCUUAUAGGACUAAGAUGCACCUCCUUAAGCGGGCGACCUUUUCAAGAAGUAUUACGGAGGAAUACUUCUUCUGGUAAAAAGCAAAGGUGUAAGCAAGCUUCUUACAUCUUAUAACAUAAAGCAAGGUGUAAGCAAGCAUUUCUCCAAUCAGAUUGACUUGAGUGAGCCAGGUUUAAGGAGAUUUCUAUGUGUUGAAACUAAUUCAUCAUGUUUUAAUCUGUUUUCUUUUUCUUUCUUUUUUUGGUUCUCCUGAUAUUCAGCACUCGUUUUAGGGCCGACUAAGGGAUCCCACUUUGGGGUAAAAUACUCCUUGGCAACUCUAUUUCCGGAGCUCGAGCCUGGCAGUAAGUUGGCCUAGUCUCUCGCCCAGCCUUCGCCUUCUUCAGUGGCCAAGUUGAAGCGUUCAACAUCGGCCUACCACCUUUUUUUUUCAAGGUGAGCUCGAGCCUUCUGAUUGAGGAUAAAGGAUACUUACCCCCGCCACAAUCUGUAGUAGUGAAUCUGUUUUCAAUUUAACCAGCAUUUGCUCUGUAAUCCGAGUGUCCUCCACUAGGUAACACGUAAUGAUUAUUCAUUACCUAGUGAAUUUGCUUUCACCUUGAAGGACAUAAUUUUAUCAGUUACAUCCUGCCCUACUUGAUGGACGAGUGUGCUGCUUCUGAAUCUUUUGGUUCUUGCAUUCAUCAACUGCAUGCAAUCAUUCAUGAAGCUGAAACUGCAAAGGGAUUAGGGGAUAAAUCUUCGGAAAGAUACUGCCAUGAGCUUCCAAAGAAUUAAAGUUCCCAUGACUCUCUGUAACAACAACUGGUUAAACUACAUUGAUAUUGUGAAUACUUUACAUUAUCCAUGUAUACAAUUUAAAUCAUAAAAGAUAUGACAUGCUUAUCCUCCUGAGAUAAUUAAAAACGAAGAAGUAGAUAUUUUGAUAUUGGUUACAUAAAAUUGUGUGCUUCAUUGUAGAGGCAAGAAGUGAAGAAAGAUCAAAUUUCUCCCAGUUUUUCAUUCUUUGCUGCCAACUUCCCUAAUUCGUCCAGCUUACCCACCAGAUAAUAAAUUCAACGAAAUAACCUUGACUGCAGUAUGAAGCCACAGCAUCCCAUUAAUCUAUUUCAAGAAAGAGAGACUUGACAUCGACAUGUGGAUGGCCACAAGCAUUCGAAUCACAAACCGUUGGGUAAGUACAGGUGGGCAGGUUUUGUU